ensembl:lncRNA
UUCGUUCAUAUCACAAUAUUUAUAUUUAUCUAAUACUAAUCACUACGGAAAGGAAUCCGUAACACAAUUAUACAUUGCAGUAUCAAGAACUUGGUCAGUGUUGCUCUGAUGGUGGGUCCCUCUGACGUGUGUGUGUGUGCGUGCGUGCGUGCGUGCGUGCAUGCGCGUGUGUGCGUACAUACCUGUAUGUAUGUGUGUGUACCUACGUACGAGUGUGUGUCUCUGUAUGUGUCAUUCAGUGAACAGGCAGCGAAGCAGCUUCAGAAGAACAGGAAGCACAUGCAGCAGAAGUUCAGUGUGAACGAGGACCGGAGAGCAGAGGCUAAGGAGGAGCUGUCCCAGAUGGCUACGCUGCACCCCAAUGCCAAGGUCAACUUGGAGGAGCUGGAGCAGAAGACCUUCAUGGUGGAGCAGAGGAUGCGAGUAUGUGUGAGAAGAGCCAUGCACUUAGCUAGACAUCCAUGCACUCUAACCUGUAGUAAAUCCAUCCUAGAUAUAGAGGUGGCAUAUCCUUAUUGACACGUCUAAUGUUUAGAUUCAGCGCUUUGACCAUUAGAUAUUGCCGAUCACAUAAUCUGCACUAGUUGUCAGUGAAAUAAGCACAUACUUUUAGAGAUUCAUCCAUGCAUGGAGACUCACUAACAAGUUGGGUUUGUGAAAGGAAAGGAGCACUUGAAGAUAGACGUUCAGAUAGAUCCAUGUACAAUGAUGGAAUGGGCUUCUUUACUAGUGUUACUGAUGCAACACAUCAGUAUCUCCUCGGAAAGUGACUGAGAAUCCUAAGAAAGACGAGCGAGAUGAAAGCCCUGGCCAUUCUGAAGGAUAAAAGAACAACUAUUGAAGCAGAAUUACACCAGGAGCAAACCAACACAGAAAACGCCAGAUGGGGACUUCAUAAGGAAUUUGAGAAAGUGUGAAGUUUAAGGUAGACUUCACCGUCAAGAUAGAACUGCCAAAGGGGGAGGAGUUGCAGUAUACUGCAGAGAUAGCCUGCAAAGUAAUGUCAUACUUUCCAGGUCGCAGUUGCAAAUGAGAACUUGUUCUCAACUAGCCUACCUGGUUAAAUAAAGGUGAAAUAAAAAAAAAUAAAAAAGGGAGCAACUCAGUGAUUUUCCUACGGAACACAACAACACUUCAGUUUGUCUGUAAAAGGAACGGAGGCUAAAACUUGCCCAUCUAAAUACAGUCAAGGAAUUACACCAAGCUGUUACCGACGGGUGUAACCAUGCCUUGAGUAGGAUCGCAGACCUCAGUGCUAAGUCCAAAGAGUACAGAACAGGCCCUCACAUGGAGGAAACAGCAGCCGCUAUACCAGAUGUCAUUGAAGAACUACAGUUCGUCUUUGAUGCCGUAGAGUUUCAAAACCAAACAGCUAUGUUGAUCAUGAACACCUUGGAACGUGAUAUCACCAACUGUCAACAACGGAUGGAGCCAACAGUGGAAACUCAUUCUACUCUGUUCACAACCAGACAGGAGAAAAUGGAGGAAACCAACGUAACUAAACACUGGGUCAUUUGGUUGAAUACAAGGUGGUUUGGUUUAUGUUGUACUCACUGUAUUUGACUUUAGUAUCACUGUUAUUCCUAAUACAGAGCAUUUAGCUGGAAUUGUGGAUUUUAUCUCUUGAGACCAUGUACAAUUCUGAUUCCCCUGAAAUGUUGACUUGCCACUUGUUUUAACGUCAGGUAGGCUGAGUGCUUGAAACUAAAAAUGUUUUGAUUUCAAACAUGCCCAUUGGCAUUUGUUUUCAGAGUGGUACUGUAUAUUGGUAACAAACACAAGAGAAAGUCUGAAAGGGUCUUCAGCUUAUUGUGUAGUUAUUUGUGGAUUAGCGUCAGUAGAAUUACUCACCACAAUCCGUUGUGAGAAGACAACAACAGCAAUUAAAAUUACAAGCCAAG